rnacentral:misc_RNA from 1 species
GAUGAAGAACGUAGCGAAAUGCGAUAAGUAAUGUGAAUUGCAGAAUUCAGUGAAUCAUCGAAUCUUUGAACGCACCUUGCGCCUUUUGGUAUUCCGAAAGGCACACCUGUUUGAGCGUCAUGAAUACCUCAAUCUCCAUCUUUUCUUCGGAUUGAUGGGUGACUUGGAUGUUGAGCCCUGCUGGUAUGCUAUAUCAGCUGGCUUUAAACUUAUUAGCCGGCUCUGUACUGGAUCGGUUUGACUCGACGUGAUAAUAUUAUCGUUGAGGAUGCAUGUCUCAUGCAGCCGGAAAGUAUCAAAGCAGCUUCUAGCUUGCCUUUAGUGCACUUUUACAUUUUAGACCUCAGAUCAGGUGGGACUACUCGCUGAACUUAAGCAUAUCAAUAAGCGGAGGA